AAAAUUAGAGUGUUCAAAGCGGGCAGAUAUUUUUCCUGCCACCGAAUACAUUAGCAUGGGAUAAUGGAAUAGGACCCUGACCUCCUAUUUUCAGUUGGUUUUGUUUACAGCGAGGUUAUAUCAGGGUAAUGAUUAAUAGGGAUAGUUGGGGGCAUUAAUAUUUAAUUGUCAGAGGUGAAAUUCUUGGAUUUAUGAAAGAUUAACUUCUGCGAAAGCGUUUGCCAAGGAUGUUUUCAUUAAUCAAGAACGAAAGUUAGGGGAUCGAAGACGAUCAGAUACCGUCGUAGUCUUAACCAUAAACGAUGCCGACCAGCGAUUAGGAGACGUUGAAUACAAAACACCGCUGUUAACCCUUUCGGGGGUUAAUA
rnacentral:rRNA from 1 species